AUGUCGGAGCUGAUGCGGAACCCGCGGGUGAUGAAGAAGCUACAGGGCCAAAUCCGGGAGGCGUUCAAGGGAAAGGCGGUGGUGACUGAGGCCGACCUGCAGGAGAGCAACCUGCAGUACCUGAAGAUGGUGAUCAAGGAGGCGCUCCGGCUGCACCCGCCGGCGCCGCUGCUGGUGCCCCGGGAGAGCAUCGACCAAUGCGAGCUGGAAGGGUACACGGUGCCGGCCAAGUCGCGCGUGAUCAUCAACGCGUGGGCCAUCGGGCGCGACCCCAAGUACUGGGAAGCACCUGAGGAGUUCCGGCCGGAGCGGUUCGAGGACAGCACGGUGGACUUCACCGGCAGCAGCUACGAGUUCCUCCCGUUCGGCGCCGGCCGCAGGAUGUGCCCCGGCUUCAACUACGGGCUGGCCAGCAUGGAGCUCGCCCUCGUUGGUCUGCUCUACCACUUCGACUGGUCGCUGCCGGAGGGCGUGGCCGAGGUCGACAUGGAGGAGGCCCCGGGCCUCGGCGUGCGCCGCCGCACACCGCUGAUGCUCCUCGCCACACCCUUCGUCCCGGCCGCGGUGGCGUAG
rnacentral:rRNA from 1 species